rnacentral:rRNA from 1 species
GACGAACGCUGGCGGCGUGCUUAACACAUGCAAGUCGAACGGAAAGGCCCUGCUUGCAGGGUGCUCGAGUGGCGAACGGGUGAGUAACACGUGGGUGAUUUGCCCCUUACUUUGGGUUAAGCCUGGGCAACUGGGUCUAAUACUGGCUAGGAACAUGAUGUAGGCGGUGUGGUGGAUAGAUUAGUUCGGGUUAGGGGUGAGAUCGGGGCCUAUCCGCUUGUCGGUGGGGUAUUGGUCUACUAAGGCGUCGCCGGGUCGCCGGCCAGAGAGGGUGGGCGGCGACAUUGAGACUCCGACGCGGCCCAGACGCCUACGAUAGGCAGCAGUGGGGAAUAGUUCACAAGAGGCGCAAGCCUGAAGCAACGACGCCGCUUGGAGGGUGACGGCCUUCGAGUUGGAAACACCUAUCGGCCAUGACGAAGCCCUUGUGGUGACGGUAGUGAUAGAAGAAGCACCGGCUAACUACGUG